AUUGAACGCUGGCGGCAGGCCUAACACAUGCAAGUCGAGCGGAUGAAGGGAGCUUGCUCCUGGAUUCAGCGGCGGACGGGUGAGUAAUGCCUAGGAAUCUGCCUGGUAGUGGGGGAUAACGUCCGGAAACGGGCGCUAAUACCGCAUACGUCCUGAGGGAGAAAGUGGGGGAUCUUCGGACCUCACGCUAUCAGAUGAGCCUAGGUCGGAUUAGCUAGUUGGUGGGGUAAAGGCCUACCAAGGCGACGAUCCGUAACUGGUCUGAGAGGAUGAUCAGUCACACUGGAACUGAGACACGGUCCAGACUCCUACGGGAGGCAGCAGUAGGGAAUAUUGGACGAUGGGCGAAAGCCUGAUCCAGCCAUGCCGCGUGUGUGAAGAAGGUCUUCGGAUUGUAAAGCACUUUAAGUUGGGAGGAAGGGCAGUAAGUUAAUACCCUGCUGUUUUGACGUUACCAACAGAAUAAGCACCGGCUAACUUCGUG
rnacentral:rRNA from 1 species